rnacentral:lncRNA from 1 species
GCAGAGAAUAUUUCAUAUUAUAGGUUUUCCCCAUGUUCAGAUAUAAGAGUUCAUAUACUCCUUUUUCUCUGCUGCAUUUCAUUGUCAAGCCUCACUGACAGACAUACAUACAUGUACCGUACAGCACUUGCUACAGAUUUACCAACUAACCAGCAUCUUUACCAGCAACAUCAAAAGUAGUAUGCAUCUAAUCUAAUCAUGAUUUUUUCCCUCUUGAUAGACUAUACAUCAUCUGAAAUUAAGCCUCUACCACUACAGCUGGUUGCUGUUUGAUUAUCUCAAGCUUCCUCGCUGCUUCGACGCUGCUGCUGCUGCUCUUCCUGGUGAUCCUGAUGUACCAGAAGACGACGACCAUCACGGCGGCCGCGAACCCGACGAGGAUCACGUCGGCGCCGGCGAUCGACCGGUCGGGCUUCCCGCCGCCCCCCUGCGCCGCCACCGCACCCN